rfam:Triticum aestivum genome assembly, contig: Triticum_aestivum_CS42_TGACv1_scaffold_641200_T_6AS-0.235772_2BL-0.207686
AUUAUACUCCCUCCGUUUGGAAUUACUUGUCUCGGAAAUGGAUGUAUCUGGAACUAAAAUACAUCUGGAUACAUUCAUUUUCGCGUCAAGUAAUUCCGAACGGAGGGAGUAGAAA